GCCCUCGAAGCUUGAUAAAAUGUAAAAUUAUCGCACAUUCAUUGUUAUUGUUUUCGGUUUGCCCCGCACACAAUGCUAUAUAUUUCUUUCGAUUUUCCACAGCCUUACAGCUCUAAACAGGCUGACUUAAACACGCAGCUAAGUUCACGAAAUCAAACUUGAAGAAUUAUGUUGAUUUGCCUUAAAAAAAUCCCCACCUCUGAGGAAGUGCGUCAACGGAAAUUUUGCAGCGCACGCAAUGCGACUGCUAUUGGCUAUAGUAAAUCACUUUAAAAAUUAGCAUAAUCCGUCAGCAGAUGGAAAAUUGGUAGCAAACACAGCGGCAGGUCAGAAGUUGGCUAUAAGAACCAGGGACGGCGCAUAUUCGUUUUAAAUGUUUUUUAAGAUAUGUAUAUUGAUGAGUUUACAAAAUGUUAAGCCAUAACAACUUAUAGUUUGCCCAACAUCCCUGUGUACACUUGAUUUCGUCUUAUGGUUUUUUUAUGGCGCGGAAAACCCUUUCGUUGGAAUUUGUUAUUCAAAUGGCAGAAACGCACACACAAAACAACGGAAGGAAGGAAGCAGCAGUAAAAUGUAUUGAUCAAUUAGGCAGAAAUGUUGUGCAUUGAAAGGAUGUUUUGUAAACUCCGGACCGUUGAAGAUUACAGGGCAUUAGGGGCAUUUGUUAAUCGUUCGAGCUCACUGCCCUCACAGUAAAUUAAUUCUAAAUUACAUAUGCUGUGUAACUCCAUGUUAAUUUAUUUUAAAAUAACUACUAAAGCUCAACGUCCAUUGAAGACAGAAAUGCAUUCAUAAAUAAUUCGUUGCCUGGGAGAUGCAGUAAGUCCGAUGCAACCACAAAAGCAAGGAAGUGAGGAAGUUUCUCCCGUUUUAUUCUGUCCAAGAUUACAGCUCAAAAUCGGAGCAAAAGCCCAGGAACGAGGGAAUGCCACCCGUUUGCUGAUUGAUGAUAUGCCGGCAAAAGUUGCCAGGCAAAUAAUUCAACAAAAGUUGAGCGGGCAGGCAUUGGUCUUGGGAUCGCUCUGCAGUUUAUGAAAACGUUAAAUAAAAGACAAAACGAGAUGAAGCCCCGGUACGCACACACGCACGACAGCUUGCAAUUUGUGUUGCACAAGUUCUGGCCCGAUUUGGCCGGUCCGUUUUGGCCUGGUCUGUACGUGCUUACGGGCAGCUCGGAAAAGCUUAUUCAAAUGAAAGGCAAACAGAGCGACAACGGAGCAACAAUUGAAAUCAUUUAACAUUUGCAGAAACCAAAUACUCCUGGCCACGUUCUGCGAUUCCCACUCGAUGCAGUUGCACUUUAGCCCUUUUCGGGUUCAAAAUCCCACGAAACUGGAGGGGAAAUCGUUUGGGGGAAUGUGCUCGAGCCAAAUUGAAUGUUAACCCACAGACAUGUCAACCUUAGUUGGAAAUAAAUAUUCGCAUUCUGAAAACGAUUGAGUUUUUGGCCAGGAAAGAUAUCCUUUCCGGACACGUGCAAUCACAUAUGCUUCAAAGAAAAAUACGCAAUUUUCUGAAUAUGUUGCGAAAGGCAAAGGCAGCCGCAGCAGUUAUGCCAGCAAGACCAACAAUAAGGAAGCCGGCAAUCGCACUCGGCCUUAUGGCCAAGGAAAGUUUUUCAGCCAACCAAGUUGGCAGGCUGAGGACGGGGCCAACUGCCGACUAUAAUCGCAUAACUUUUUGCACACGCUGGCAUUUAUCAAUCCGGAACACGUGAAGCCAUAGCCACCGGAAAAUCAAUCACAAAUUUAUUUCCCGGUCUGCAUAAUUAAAAUUAUGAUUUCCUCUCACGGUAACCAAGCACAUUGUUGUGGUUUUUCGGAAGGGCUUGAUAAAUGCAAACCAAAAGCAGCGGAACGGAAAGAAAAACUUCAAUUGCGAGCUUCAAACUGUCAGAAAGCAGUUGGCAAAAAUAUAAACAAAAAGCCAGCGAUGCACAAAGGCAAGUGACAAAUUGGAAGACCCAAAAAAAAAACUGGAACGCAGGCAAAACUAUAAGCGAAAGGGUCCCCAAACCAAAUGCCACGCCGAGCAUACAAUGCAGCAUAGGAAUGAAUAUACACCGUAAAAAAUAGCACAUAAAAAGCUCAUAAUUACUUGUAAUUGGCUAAUAUAUGUAUGCUGGGAUA